rnacentral:rRNA from 1 species
CACAGACAACCAGGAGGUUGGCUUAGAAGCAGCCAUACCUUGAAAGAGUGCGUAACAGCUCACUGGUCGAGAGUAUCUGCGCCGAAGAUGUAACGGGGCUAAGACAUAAACCGAAGCUGCGGAGGCGUGCCUGCACGCCUGGUAGGAGAGCGUUCUGUAGGCCGUUGAAGGAAUGCCGCAAGGCCGUUCUGGAGGUAUCAGAAGUGAGAAUGCAGGAAUGAGUAGCGAGAAGGCGGGCGAGAAUCCCGCCGGCCGGAAGUCCAAGGUUUCCAGGGGAAGGUUUGUCCGCCCUGGGGAAGUCGGGACCUAAGCAUAAGCAAAAUUGUGAUGGCGAAUGGAAAACAGGUUAAUAUUCCUGUACCGCUGUUAUCGCCUGAGAGACGGAGUGACGCAGGAAGGUAUGCGGGAAGGCUGACGGAAUAGCCUUUCUAAGGGCGUAGCAUGGGCAUGCAGGAAAAUCCGCAUGCCUAAAUGUGAGACCUGACGGGUAAGUGCAUCUUGCAUAAGCCGCAGAUCCUACACUGCCGAGAAAAACUUCUAUCGAUGAGAACCAGCGCCCGUACUGUAAACCGACACAGGUGGACAGAGUGAGAAACUUAAGGCCGACAGGAUAACUCUAGCUAAGGAACUCUGCAAAAUAGCCCCGUAACUUCGGGAGAAGGGGUGCCUGAUAUACCUGAAAGGAGAAACACCUCAAGGGGAAACAGGCCGCAGUGAAGAGUCCCAAGCAACUGUUUACCAAAAACACAGGUCUAUGCUAAGCUGAAAGGCGACGUAUAUGGGCUGACACCUGCCCAGUGCCGGAAGGUUAAGAGGAGGAUUGAGAGAUUCGAAUUGAAGCCCCGGUGAACGGCGGCCGUAACUAUAACGGUCCUAAGGUAGCGAAAUUCCUUGUCGGGUAAGUUCCGACCUGCACGAAUGGUGAAAUGAUUUGGGAGCUGUCUUGGCUGGAGACCUGGUGAAGUUGUAAUGCCGGUGAAGAUACCGGCUACCUGCAGUAGGACGGAAAGACCCCGUGGAGCUUUACUGCAGUCUGGCAUUGGGUUUUGGCUGUGUGUGUAUAGGAUAGUUGGGAGACUGUGAAGUUAAGGCGUCAGUUUUAACUGAGUCGUCGUUGGAAUACCAACCAUAUGCCGUUGAAAUUCUAAUCUGGUAACGGAGACAGUGCUAGAUGGGCAGUUUGACUGGGGCGGUCGCCUCCAAAAGAGUAACGGAGGCGUUCAAAGGUUCCCUCAGGCUGGAUGGAAAUCAGCCUAAGAGUGCAAACGCAUAAGGGAGCUUGACUGCAAGACUGACGGGUCGAGCAGGCACGAAAGUGGGAGUUAGUGAUCCGGCGGUUCCGUAUGGAAGGACCGUCGCUCAACGGAUAAAAGCUACCCCGGGGAUAACAGGCUGAUACUUCCCAAGAGUCCAUAUCGACGGAAGUGUUUGGCACCUCGAUGUCGGCUCGUCUCAUCCUGGGGCUGGAGAAGGUCCCAAGGGUUGGGCUGUUCGCCCAUUAAAGAGGCACGCGAGCUGGGUUCAGAACGUCGUGAGACAGUUCGGUCCCUAUCCACUGCAGGCGCUUGAAUACUGAAAAGAUCUGACCUUAGUACGAGAGGACCGGGUUGGACAGACCUCUGAUGUACCAGUUGUCACGCCAGUGGCACGGCUGGGUAGUCACGUCUGGGACGGAUAACCGCUGAAAGCAUCUAAGCGGGAAGCCGGCUUUGAGAUGAGUGUUCGCAGUAUCCAUGGAGAACACAUGGUUGAUAGGCCAGAGGUGCAAGCGCAGCAAUGCGUUCAGCUGACUGGUACUAAUAUUACAUCUGCUUUUU